rnacentral:tRNA from 1 species
UCCCUGGUGGCUCAGAGGGUAAAGCGUCUGCUUACAAUGCAGGAGACCCAGGUUCGAUCCCUGGGUUGGGAA